UACGGAGGGUGCAAACGUUGCUCGGAAUUACUGGGCGUAAAGCGCACGUAGGCGGCUUCUUAAGUCGGUGGUGAAAUCCUGGAGCUCAACUCCAGAACUGCCUUCGAUACUGGGAAGCUCGAGUCCGGGAGAGGUGAGUGGAACUGCGAGUGUAGAGGUGAAAUUCGUAGAUAUUCGCAAGAACACCAGUGGCGAAGGCGGCUCACUGGCCCGGUACUGACGCUGAGGUGCGAAAGCGUGGGGAGCAAACAGG
rnacentral:rRNA from 1 species